ensembl:lncRNA novel transcript, antisense to DPP6
ACGGCUGUUUCCCCUCAUGGUUUUCACUGACAUGCUAAGUGAAAUCCAGCCUCAGAUUAGAGAUGGCUCAUGGGCCAUUGCUGGCCCACUGAAGUUGCAGCCACCGUCCUGGUUAUCAGUGGUCAGUGAACUCAGGACAACAGGAGCUGAAACCGAGGCUGAGCCCACUUCCCGGGGGCCAGCCUGUUCCUGGCUGAGAUGACACCUGUCAGAACAUCCUGUGCUUCCCAUUCAACAGUGCACUGGGCUCUGUGCAGAACAGAAAAGAGAAAGAGAGUUCUGCGAGUGCCUCUUGCUGUAAUUACCAGCUCUGGAUGCCUCUGCCUCACUCUGGGAUGCAGGCUACAUCCAGCUUCAUGAGGGAUGGACCUCAAAACUAAAGUGGCGUGGAUUCCACUGUCUGCUACUGCUGCCUGGACCCACGCAGCCGCCCACAUGCGGCAGCAUCCUUGUCAUGCUCCUUUGGACAUCAUCAUCCUCUGUCUCUUCCUUCAUAGAACCAACCCACUCCUCCUGCCUGAGCCCUGAGCCUGGCCCAGGCUCUUUGGUCUAGCCUAACGCUCUGGAAUCCACAUGUGGCAUAUACCCACAUUCCAGCUGUUACAACUGUAAUUCAGUCCUACGACACUCCUGAGGGAUAAGACUGGACAUUCAGAACUUGCACAACCGGCUGGGGUCCUGUUGUUCCUGAGCAGAGCACAAUGCCAAGGCUGGAAGGUAGACCUGAAGCUCAAAGUCAUGACCCCAGUGCUGAAUGCCCCUCCACACCUGUCACUCACAUGGAUGUUUCUGGAAAACUGCUCAACUCUAUUGUUUUGUUAUUCUAGAGCGGUCAUUCAUAAAACACAUAGCAGUGGAGCAUCUACUAUGUGCAGGUCAUGGUGCUGAGCACUAUGUGGGAGACAAAAUUAAAUCCCAAACAGAACCUGCUCCAGUGAGCUUAGAACUGGGCAGCAGCCUUUACAGCUGAGGAGAGCUACUUCAGAGAUGAUGCACUUGUGCUUUGGGGACAACUGUGCUUUUAUUUGAUUCAUUUUCUGUAGAAAUGUAGACAAGCACUUCAAAAAUUCUCAAAAGAGGAAAUGGAUCAAGACAUUUUGAUAAAUGUUUUCUAAAAAGCAGUUCUUAGCUACCAUCAAAUAUGAUAUGCUAUCAAAUAAUAAGGAUCAGGAAAUAGCCCACU